GCAGGUUCGUGUCUCCUUCCUCUGUAUAUAAACACUGUAGCGUAUAACAUAUGCGUUUUUGGAAAACUGGUUCAUAUAUCCUGAAGUCAAUACCGAAUAUGACUAUGAAUAUAUUUCAUUUGCCGUUAAUGUAUUGAAGACCUAUUUCAACAAGUUAACAAAGUUUUUGCUGGCUUAGCUCAUCGUUAACAUGGCUAGCUAACUUAACUAGCACCGUUGGUCACUGCACUACAAUGUCACGCUAGCUAUUGCCAGCAGGUGAUUUGAAAUAUUAAGUGAAUGUUUAUUUUCUUACUACCUUUUAAAAGGGUUGUACUUGUGCUCUGUAUUUAUGGAUUAAUAUCACUUCACAUUGAGAGUAUGUAUCACUACUGUUGCUCCUAUCUAAAAAAUAUAUUGUGGGCUACCUAACCAGUGAACGUGUGGCUGUGACCGUCCUGUCAAUGCCUGUCAUCACUGUUUGAUAACUUUUACUUACUAAAAACCUAGUCAACCUGAAGUGCGGGUGUCUGUGCGCUUUUCUUCUGAGAGGCUAUGUAAAGUUGGUUACAUCAGCAAGGGACACACUUUGUAUGUGGACAAUUGGUACAGAAGUCCCACACUCUUCCAGCAUCUGCUCUCCAACAGCACAGGGGCCUGUAGCACAGUCAGGUUAAACAGGAAGGAGAUGCCGGCAUUCGGAUGCAGGAAGAUAAAGAGAGGGGAGGUGGAGUUCAAGGAGAACGGUCAACAGCUGGCAGUAAAGUGGCAUGACAAACGAGACGUCCAUGUCCUCUCCACUGUCAAUACAGCAACCAUGUCGGCCACAGGGAAGGUGGACCAACUGAAGGGAGAGAGAAAAAUCAAACCAGACUAACUAACUGGUGAGAUUACUGAACAAGAUAAAGUAAUUACCUACCAAAAGUACUGAGAGAACCUUAUGAGGGAACUGCUGGAGGAGCACCACACCCAUCAGCGCCCAUCCACUGGGGGUCGUCCUGCUGCGGACAAUCCCCUAAGCCUCACUGCACGGCAUUUUCUCUGCAAAGUCCCUCAAACUGCUGCUCAAGGUAGUCGCACACAGAGGCACUGCAAAGUUUGCCUGUUUGGCACCAGGAGAAGAAAGCAGAGGAAGUUGUCAAAAUACAUGUGUUUAGCUUGUGAUACACCCCUAUGUAUUUCACCAUGCUUUGGGGAGUAUCAUAUGUUCAAGCAAUAUUGCGCACAACUGCAGCAAUUAGUGACUUGACUGACAGACCUGACAGGUGACUUUCCUUCCAUGAUACUAGUUGUUGUUCAAUCACUGCAUGAAUAUUAAAUACGGGUUAUGCAUAUUCAGUUUUUUUUUCCUAAAACUUGUUCAACCAACCACCACCAUUACUGCAAUAAAAUUGACGACUUACAUA